rnacentral:rRNA from 1 species
GAGGAACGCUGGCGGCGUGCUUAACACAUGCAAGUCGAACGGAAAGGCCCUGCUUGCAGGGUACUCGAGUGGCGAACGGGUGAGUAACACGUGGGUGAUCUGCCCUGCACUUCGGGAUAAGCCUGGGAAACUGGGUCUAAUACCGGAUAGGAGCCAUUUUUAGUGUGAUGGUUGGAAAGUUUUUUCGGUGUAGGAUGAGCUCGCGGCCUAUCAGCUUGUUGGUGGGGUAAUGGCCUACCAAGGCGGCGACGGGUAGCCGGCCUGAGAGGGUGGACGGCCACAUUGGGACUGAGAUACGGCCCAGACUCCUACGGGAGGCAGCAGUGGGGAAUAUUGCACAAUGGGCGCAAGCCUGAUGCAGCGACGCCGCGUGGGGGAUGACGGCCUUCGGGUUGUAAACUCCUUUCGCUAGGGACGAAGCUUUUUGUGACGGUACCUAGAUAAGAAGCACCGGCUAACUACGUG